UGCCCUGUCCUGUCUGCUCAAAGCCAUGCCCAUCUUCAGCCCUGCGAGGGCCUGACUUCUCUUCCUGUCCGUGGAAGGAAGGCGAGCACCAGUGAGUCACAGAGCGGUGGAACACAGAGGGAACAUCCCAGCUUCAAGUGGCCCAUCCCUGGACCUGCAGACAGAUGGUUAAACAAUUGGAGACCCCCACUCCGAACUUGGAAAGACCAAGAGAAAGGAUCAGUUGCAAGAAACUUCCAGAACCUUUAGAGAACUAUAAUAUAUAGGAAGAGAUACCUGGAGGAUGGAGGUAGAAACACUACGCCAUGUGAUACCAAGAAAGACUUUUGCCUUCUGUAUGGCCUUGGGGGAAGACACUUGUGGGCUCAACAAGUCUCUAACUCCCAUAAGCAGCCCCAGCCUCCCCACCUUCAGGAUCCCUGGCAGCAGCUAGCCCUCCUAGUGGGAGUGUGGGAGCCCAAGGCCUGCAGGGAUCCCAGACAGUUGCUGACACCUGUCCUCAGGCUGGAGGUAGAACACCCCAAAUGUCUCCCAAAGGACCAGGGAAGCUGUCUAUCCCACUUCCCUGCCAGGAUGGAGGGCUUAACCACAGUCCCCUCUUCUCUAACUAGACAAGCACAUUCCCACCCUCUUUCCCCCCAGUACCUCCAUAAAUGGCUCAUUGUGACAUGG